AGUUCCUUGGAGGCUUUUUGAUGCCGAUUCGCGUACACCUGUUGUUUGAAAGCUCUCAGCGGGACAAUGCUGACCUGGAGACAGGUCCUUGAUAUGUUUCCCAGUCUGGUCUUGAACUGGGAAAUGAUCCUCUUGCCUCGUCCCUGCAAAACAUGAGCCAGCUGGAGUACAGUGGCGCGAUCUCAGCUCACUGCAACCUCCACCUCCUGAGUUGAAGCGAUUCUCCCACCUCAGCCCCCUGAGUAGGUGGGGUUACAGGAGCACACCACCACUCCCGGCUAAUUUUUGUAUUUUUAGUAGAGACGGGUUUCCCAUGUUGGCCAACGUGGUCUUGAACUCCUGACCUCAUGUGAUCCUCCCGCCUCUGCCUCCCACAGUGCUGGGAUUACAGCUGAAAGCAAAAUCAGAGGGGAAGCUUGCGAAACAGAUUUGCAAAGUUGUGUUGGAUCAUUUUGAAAAACAGUAUUCCAAAGAACUCGGAGAUGCCUGGAAUACAGUAAGGGAGAUACUAACAUCUCCAUCAUGCUGGCAAUAUGCUGUCCUGCUUAACCGAUUCAAUUAUCCUUUUGAA
rnacentral:sRNA from 1 species